UCGAUUGUACCCUGCUGCAAACCGCAGCCAGACAGCCCGAACCUUCAAGGUUGAGUCACCACGGUGACCGGUUCAUCCCAAGUGCGAUUCGCGUUCGGAAGCUCGCACGGUCACCUCGCGGUGAUGAGCGC
rfam:Pseudomonas sp. M47T1 contig032, whole genome shotgun sequence.